UACGAAGGGGUCUAGCGUUGCUCGGAAUGACUGGGCGUAAAGGGCGCGUAGGCGGCUUACAUAGUUAGGCGUGAAAUUCCUGGGCUCAACCUGGGGACUGCGUCUAAUAAAUGUAGGCUUGAGUGUGAAAGAGGGUAGUGGAAUUUCCAGUGUAGAGGUGAAAUUCGUAGAUAUUGGAAAGAACACCGGUGGCGAAGGCGCCGACCUGGUUCAUUACUGACGAUGAGGCGCGAAAGCGUGGGUAGUAAACAGG
rnacentral:rRNA from 1 species